AGAAUCAACGCUGGCGGCGUGCCUAACACAUGCAAGUCGAACGAGAAAGUGGAGCAAUCCAUGAGUAAAGUGGCGCACGGGUGAGUAACACGUGACUAACCUACCCUUGAGUGGGGGAUAACCUAGAGAAAUCUGGGCUAAUACCGCAUAAUACCUUCGGGUCAAAGGAGCAAUUCGCUUAAGGAGGGGGUCGCGGCCGAUUAGUUAGUUGGCGGGGUAAUGGCCCACCAAGACUAUGAUCGGUAUCCGGCCUGAGAGGGCGCACGGACACACUGGAACUGAAACACGGUCCAGACUCCUACGGGAGGCAGCAGUGGGGAAUUUUGCGCAAUGGGGGAAACCCUGACGCAGCAACGCCGCGUGGAGGAUGAAGUCCCUUGGGACGUAAACUCCUUUCGAUCGGGACGAUAAUGACGGUACCGAGAGAAGAGCCCCGGCUAACUCGUGCCAGCAGCCGC
rnacentral:rRNA from 1 species